GAAGGUAUUGGACUCAAAUGCAGGACUCGAGGUGAAGGCAUGAUAUUGAUUGUGGUUUUAUUCCAGCCUAAGGUCGGACACAAGUAAGCAGUCCAAAAAAGGUGGAAGCACAAAAACCCGAGGCAACAGGCAUGAUCCAAAAACAUGCAACAUAAUCCGAUGACUAUGAGGCAAAGCUCAAAAACAUGAACAAGACGUAACAAAACUAUAGCGGCACAGGCUCGCUGUAAUGAAGGGAUGCAGUUCACAAAGAUUGCGAACUUACGCACGAUAGUGGAUUAUCCAAUAUGCAGUAACACAAUGAAAUGGCAAAUGUAGAUGACACACUCAAGGCUUAAAUGCCUGGUCUAAUUACCGUCCAAUGCGGCGCAGUUCUGGGACUGCAGCCAUAGGCGGCACUGCCCAGGGCAGUGGCUUGGCCAUGCCCCUGACAGGCAGCACCGCCUAGGGCAGUGGCUUGGCCAUGCUCCUGACAUCCUGGCCACUAGUCCUUCCUGCUCCUUCCGUCGCCUAGGUGCUACCGAUCAAUGCAAGUCAAAACUAGCAGGCAUUCAAACUGUUUUUCCGUCUGGCAAUUAAGUCAUUAAAUUCUUGAUCAGCGAACCUACUCUUUUUUUUUUUUUCCCUUGUGCCGUUGUUGGGACACACCCUCAUAUCCUGCUGGUCCAGUGACUGUUAGUAUUAGUAAUAUAUGCUGUAAACUCUGACAACUCAUCACUUUAAAUGGUUUGUUUUGCAAAAUUGACAUUACACUUGCACUGGUCUAUAACAGGGCACUCUGUACAGGCUUAACAUAAUGUGGGGCAUUGACACACUCUUAAUUGUUCUAAAUGAAGAAGACUCUGCAUUUUGCACAUCUUUGAUUCUUAUAAGGAAUAGUUCCUAUUAAAUGAAAGUCUCUUGUUCGUUGUUCUUUUUAGUUAGUUUGUUUGUUCUUUGUUCUGAAUGUUGUACCAGGGCAGCAGCGACGCUGGAAACAAAUUGUGUUGUUACACAAUUGACCAAAUAAGAUGAUUCUGAUUCUGAAUGGUUUUAUAUUCCUGGAGUCUCCUGAGAAUCUCUCCAGGCAAGAGAGCAGUGAGCAGAUGCCCUCAGAUGUGACGAGUGCCAGCAUUGUGACUGACCCGUGAGGUUCGUGGAGGUCCUUCUGCUGUCUCAGGUGUUGUACCCGUUACAUCCUUCUUCAGGAUUAGGUUUAAAAGGACAUCAAACUGUGAGACCACCCGCCUCAUGAUGGUGUCCUGCUGCUCUGAGACUUUCUUCAGAUGAUGGCGGAGGGCAGAAAGCUGUUUGUCUUGCUGUGAGUGUCACGAACGAGGCUCGAAGGCGGACCCAAAUGCACAACUCAGGGAACAGGUAAGCUGCGCGGAAUAAGCCUUUAUUCGUUCCAAUGUCGGUUACCAGGGAGUCAGUCCAAACAAGCAGCAGGAUCAUUAACAGCAGGCUUACAGGGUAGGUCGGGAGACAGCCGUUGGUCGGGACACGGGAGGUAGACGUCAGGAGUACGGAAGUGCGGGAACGAGGCAUGAGAGGCAACGAUCUGGCAAAGACCACUUGUCCCCAGGGACCUAUAAAUACCGAGUUCAAUCAGUCGGGAUGAGGCGCAGUUGCGCGCCUCCUAAUCAGCUGGCCACGCCCAGCCAGGACUGGAAGGCAGGGACAUGGCAGUGAGAUGCGUUAUCGCUGACCCUGGAGGACUUUGUGCACAGGGUCCAAGUUUUUUGGGUCCAUGUUAUGGCCAGUUAGUUCUGUCAUGAACAGAACAUCGAGUUGGACCCAAAAUGCAUGACUCCAGAGACAAGGAACAGUUCAAGAAGUGAGUCAAUCCAUGUUUGGUACCCAGGCAUGCAGUCCAAAAGGUAUUAGUAGCAACAUCGUGAGGCAAAAAGGAGUAAUCAGGUAGAUGAGGCACUGGUGGAGCGGCUACUCCCAGGGGCAGGUGUGCAUGAGGCAAGGGAAUGACCCCACCCAUGACAAACACAUUUCAGUUGUAUAGCCGAAUUCAUGACCCUUGUCCUGUUAGCUUCUUUUCCUGUCCCUGUCCUGUUCUCUCUGGUCCUGUCCUUUCCUCACAGGAUGUAGCCCUACAGUCCCAGAAAAUAUCUACAUUUAACGUCACUUUGUCAUUGAUAUGUAAUAAUUUUUAAAAUUUUACCUUCUGUGUAUAACUAGAGCUAUCUUUUGUCUUUGUUUUCUUCCACCUCUGGAAAUAUUGUUCUGUUUAAGUGAUUGACUUUCAAUAAAUAUCAAUUAUAACAGGCAGCACAGUGGAGCAACUGGAAAUCAUUGGCCUCACAGUUCUGAGGUCCUGGGUUUAAUCCUAGCCCUGCCUAUGUGGAGUUUGGAUGUUCUCCCCGUGCCUGCGUGGGUUUUCUUUGGGAACUCUGGUUUCCUCCCACAUCCCAAAAACAUACAACAUUAAUUGGACACUCUAAAUUGCCCCUAGGUCUGAUUGUGAGUGCAGCUGUUGUCUUUCUCUUUGUGUCCUCCGAUUGGCUGGCAACCAGUUCAGGAUGUACCCUGCCUCCUGCCCGUCAACAGCUGGGAUAGGCUCCAGCACUCCUGUGACCCUUGUGAGGAUACGUGGCAAAUGAAAUAGAUGGAUGGAUCAAUUAUAAUAUUUUGAGAAAAUAUCACAGAAGAAUCCUUGAAACUCCAAUGUGACAAUAAAACUGUUCUGGCAGAAAAGGGAUACAGACCCUCCGUUCUUCUUUACCUGAUGGCCGAACAGGACAAAAAAAGGCAGAGUUUUAUUCCAUCCUGACGCGAUCCUCUGCAUUUAUCCAGGCAACAGUUUGGACUGGCUUAUGCCCCCUAUUGGGUUGCAUAGGUCACUUUUCAUUCAUAAUGUAUGCAAAAAACGAUAACAAGCCUUGUCCUUGUCCAAAUCAUACAUCCACCCAAAAAAAUAACAACAUAACAAAAGUAAAAUGAAAAUAACCACAUUGUAUUUAUGUAAGGGUUGUAUUUUAUCUGUGCUAUAUUUGGACUGGACAUGACGAGGAACAAAAAUGGACUCAAUGACAGGAGUAUCAUGAUCCUGCCGCUCCAGCACGAGCUGUGCGGGUGUCCGGGCAGGUGCGCUGAUUGGAAGGUGCACACCUGCGCCUCAUGCAGCCUGAUUAUGCUAUGGAUUUAUAUGACCGCGAUGACAACUGGCCGGCGCCAGUUCGUAUGAUCUUCAUGUCCCAUUCGUGUGCUCCGGUAUCCCUGAUUGAACCUGUGUGUACCGACCUUCGUCCGUUCUCCGACCAACCUUGUAAGCCUGACUCCUUUGAUACUUCUGCCUGCGUUGAUUGUUCCCCUGUGUACCGACUCCUGCCUGUCCGCUCAUCUGCUCUCUUCGCCCGAUGCCCCAACUACCGCUGCUGCACCGGACUGCCUGCUCGAUCCCCUACCUCUGCAUAUAAUAAACGUGUCUCUUCUUGAACUACCUUGCGUUUUCCGAGUUCCUGCAUUUGGGUCCUACUCUCGUUUCCGAUGGGACGCGACAGAACGAACUGGCCAAUACAGGACCCAGCAGGAAAGACCCGGCGUCGCCGGGACCGACGCAAGGUUCACGUUGCCGUGGAAACCGACCCGCCCCCUUGCCAAGUGCACGCCGCAGUGGGAACGGACUCGCCACCUCGCCAAGCACACGUGCGUGUGGAAACCGACCCGCCCCCUUGCCAAGUGCACGCCGCAGUUUUGGCUGUUCCGAGCAGAGUUCACGUGGCAGUCAGAACUGACCCGCUCCCGAGACACGCCCACGUGUCAGUUUCGACUGACUCUCUGCCGACUCUUGUUCACGUUGCCCUGGAAACGGAUUCGCCACCGUGCCAUGCCCACGUUGCUGUUUCAAUGGAUGCACUGCAAGCUCACGUGGCAGUGGGGACCGACCCGAUGUCGUCUCACGUUGCUGUCCAGCAGGUGGCGAUGGCGAUGGUGUCGCCGCCUUCUCACGUUGCUGUCCAGGAGGUGGCGAUGGCGAUGGGGUCGCCGCCUUCUCACGUUGCUGUCCAGGAUGUGGCGAUGGCGAUGGGGUCGCCGCCUUCUCACGUUGCUGUCCAGGAGGUGGCGAUGGCGAUGGGGUCGCCGCCUUCUCACGUUGCUGUCCAGGAGGUGGCGAUGGCGAUGGGGUCGCCGCCUUCUCACGUUGCUGUCCAGGAGGUGGCGAUGGCGAUGGGCCGCCUUCUCACGUUGCUGUCCAGGAGGUGGCGAUGGCGAUGGGGUUGCCGCCUUCUCACGUUGCUGUCCAGGAGGUGGCGAUGGCGAUGGGGUCGCCGCCUUCUCACGUUGCUGUCCCCGACAAGAGCUGGGGAGUUCUGAUGAGCCACCCCGGAGCUGGAGAGACUUCGGGAUGGUAAUGGUGGCGGUCAUGGCUCUGGUCCUUCUCUCCAUCAUCCUAUUCGCUCCAGAUGGCUCCCAGCCGCUUCAUGACCUAGCCUCGGUGGCGACCAAUCAUUGGUUGUUUGGCAACUACGGCGUGGGAGGUUCUCGUCCGGAGCAGUGGCCUGCCUCGUUCUGGUGCCUGCUCCUUCGUUUGGUUCCUCACAGAGGUCGUCCGCCCGAAUCGCCCCGUGGGGACCCUGGUGCUUGGCGUCCGGGUCGUCCUCCUGACCUGUCCACCCAGACGUCUCGUGUUUGGUGGCCUGGAUGGCCACCAGUCUGGGGUUCAGGGGGGGGGGGCGUGCCCUCCUCCGGACCUCCUUCCGCCCACCCCUGUCUGUGUUAAUUAUUGUCUGUUUUUUCGUUUAGGCACGUCUGGGAGCUGUGCCUUUGAGGGGGGGAUUACUGUCAUGAUCCUGCCGCUCCAGCACGAGCUGUGCGGGAAUCCGCGCAGGUGCGCUGAUUGGAAGGUGCACACCUGCGCCUCAUGCAGCCUGAUUAUGCUAUGGAUUUAUAUGACCGCGAUGACAACUGGCCGGCGCCAGUUCGUAUGAUCUUCAUGUCCCAUUCGUGUGCUCCGCUAUCCCUGAUUGAACCUACUCCUGCCUGUCCGCUCAUCUGCUCUCUUCGCCCGACGCCCCAACUACCGCUGCUGCACCGGACUGCCUGCUCGAUCCCCUACCUCUGCAUAUAAUAAACGUGUCUC